rnacentral:misc_RNA from 1 species
CCGUGACGAGACCCGUGGGGGGGAAACCUUCCCUCGCUCGGCGAUCGUAGCACCAACCCUUCCUUGACACGCACCGACGUCCUUCCUCGGCGGGGCAACCCGCCGGCGGAACGUUCGCAAACCCUUUAUUCAUCUCAGCAGUAACCCGUUCCGAUGAGAAAUUCAAUCGUUA